rnacentral:rRNA from 1 species
AUUGAACGCUGGCGGCAGGCCUAACACAUGCAAGUCGAACGAGUGGCGGACGGGUGAGUAAUGUCUGGGAAACUGCCUGAUGGAGGGGGAUAACUACUGGAAACGGUAGCUAAUACCGCAUACCAUCAGAUGUGCCCAGAUGUGAUUAGCUUGUUGGUGGGGUAACGGCUCACCAAGGCGAAGAUCCCUAGCUGGUCUGAGAGGAUGACCAGCCACACUGGAACUGAGACACGGUCCAGACUCCUACGUGAGGCAGCAGUGGGAAAUAGUGCACAAUGGGCGCAAGCCUGAUGCAGCCAUGCCGCGUGUGUGAAGAAGUCCGUCGGGUUGUAAAGCUCUUUCAGCGUGGAGGCGUUACCCGCAGAAGAAGCACCGGCUAACUCCGUGCCAGCAGCCGCGGUAAUUC